GAUACGUAGUGUGAAUUGCAGAAUUCCGCGAAUCAUCGAGUCUUUGAACGCAAGUUGCGCCCGAGGCUUGUCCGAGGGCAUUUCCGCUAGAGCGUCACC
rnacentral:rRNA from 1 species